UAAUCUUACAUUUAGGAUUUUGUGAAAAUGGAAAAUUAUGAGGCAUUGGUAGGCUUUGAUCUCUGUAAUACACCGCUCUCCACUGUUGCUCAGAAGAUUAUGUCUGCUAUGCAUUCAGGUGAUUUAGUGGAUUCUAAGACUUGGGGAAAGAGUACAGAGACUACAGAAGUGAUAAACAAGUCCAGUGUUAAGUAUUCAGUACAACUUGAAGAUGGGAAGAAUCGAUCACCAGAAAAAAAGAAUCUUAAAUCUUUAAGAAGUCAGACAUCAAGAGGUUCCGCUAAGCUCUCUCCUCAGUCCUUCGGUGUCAGACUCACAGAUCAGCUAUCUACUGACCAAAAACAGAAGAGCAUCAGCUCAUUGGCUCUUUCAAGUUGUUUAAUUCCACGGUAUAAUCAAGAGGCUUCAGUUCUACAGAAAAAGGAGCAUGAAAGAAAGCAUUUCCUAAUGGAGAAUAUAAAUAAUGAAAAUAAAGGAAGCAUUAAUCUUAAAAGAAAACAUAUUACAUAUAAUAAUUCUUCAGAGAAAACAAGUAAACAAAUGGCAUUGGAAGAAGAUACUGAUGAGGCUGAAGCCUACCUAAAUUCUGGGAACUCAGGAGCAUUGAAAAAACAUUUUUGUGAUAUUAGGCAUUUGGAUGAUUGGGCAAAAAGCCAGCUGAUUGAAAUGCUCAAACAGGCAGCAGCCCUGGUGGUAACUCUGAUGUAUACUGAUGGUUCCACCCAGUUAAGAGCUGACCAGACCCCCAUUUCCUCUGUUAGAGGAAUUGUGAUGUUACUCAAGCGCCAAGCAGAGGGUGGCCAUGGUUGUCCAGAUGCCCCGGCCUGUGGUCCUGUCCUGGAGGGCUUUGUGUCGAAUGAUCCAUGCAUCUACAUUCAAAUAGAGCACUCUGCUAUCUGGGACCGAGAACAGGAGGCACAUCGACAAUUUGCCCGCUCUAACCAAAGAACCUCGACCUUCUGGGACCAAGAACAGGAGGCAUAUCAACAAUUUGCCAGGAACGUGCUAUUUCAAACACUGAAAUGUAAAUGUCCUGUUAUUUGUUUUAAUGCUAAGGAUUUUGUGAGAAUAGUGCUGCAGUUUUUUGGUAAUGAUGGCAGUUGGAAGCAUGUUGCUGAUUUUGUAGGGUUAGAUCCCAGAAUUGCUGCAUGGCUUAUAGAUCCUAGUGAUGCCGUACCCUCUUUUGAAGAUUUAGUAGAAAAAUACUGUGAAAAAUCCAUUACGGUUAAAGUGAACAGCACAUAUGAAAAUUCCUCAAGAAAUAUUGUGAAUCAGAAUGUACGUGACAACCUGAAGAUACUCUACAGACUUACAAUGGACCUUUGCUGUAAACUGAAGGAGUAUGGUUUAUGGCAACUAUUUUGUACUUUGGAGGUUCCUUUGAUACCAAUUUUGGCAGUGAUGGAAAGCCACGCCAUUCAGGUGAACAAAGAGGAGAUGGAGAAGAUAUCAGCACUUCUUGGGGCUCGUCUCAAGGAAUUGGAGCAAGAAGCUCAUUUUGUUGCAGGAGAACGGUUUCUUAUAAUGAGCAGUAACCAGCUUCGAGAGAUCCUCUUUGGCAAGUUAAAGCUGCACCUGCUGAGUCGAAGGAACAGUCUCCCCAGAACGGGGCUGCAGAAAUACCCAUCCACAUCAGAAGCAGUGUUAAAUGCUCUGCGAGACCUUCAUCCAUUACCCAAGAUAAUUUUGGAAUACAGGCAGGUUCACAAGAUCAAGUCAACCUUUGUAGAUGGAUUAUUAGCUUGUAUGAAAAAGGGCUCCAUUUCCUCUACAUGGAAUCAGACUGGAACUGUGACUGGAAGACUUUCAGCCAAGCAUCCUAAUAUCCAAGGUAUCUCCAAGCACCCAAUUCAGAUUACUAAACCUAAGAAUUUUAAAGGUAAAGAAGAUGAAAUUCUCACGAUCUCCCCGAGGGCCAUGUUUGUUUCAUCCAAAGGCCACACCUUUCUAGCAGCAGACUUUUCACAGAUUGAAUUGCGCAUUCUUGCACAUUUAUCUGGGGAUCCAGAACUUCUGAAGUUAUUCCAGGAAUCUGAAAGAGAUGAUGUAUUUUCUACUCUGACUUCACAGUGGAAGGACGUGCCCAUGGAACACGUGACACACGCAGACAGAGAGCAAACCAAGAGGGUGGUAUACGCGGUGGUCUAUGGAGCAGGGAAGGAGAGGCUUGCUGCUUGCCUUGGAGUUCCUGUUCAGGAAGCUGCCCAGUUUUUGGAGAGUUUUUUGCAGAAGUACAAGAAAAUCAAGGACUUUGCCCGAGCAGCUAUUGCCCAGUGUCACCGGACAGGCUAUGUGGUAUCCAUCAUGGGCAGAAGGAGACCCCUGCCAAGGAUUCACGCUCAUGACCAGCAACUCCGGGCACAAGCAGAGCGACAGGCAGUGAACUUUGUGGUGCAAGGCUCCGCUGCUGACCUCUGCAAGCUGGCCAUGAUCCGUGUCUUCACUGCAGUGGCCACUUCCCGCACCUUGACAGCCAGGAGUAACGUGGAUGGCAUCUGGAAGGGACGGGUGCAGACUCAGUGUGGCCGGGCAUCUCUGCCUGAAGCAGCAGGCAUGAAACUCGAUCACUGGGAGGCACACGGUGCCCCUAGAGUGAGCCGAGAUCGCACCACUGCACUCCAGCCUGGGCGAGAGCGAGAUGCUGUCUAACAACAAAAAAGAUUCAUCUGGCCGCCCCGAGGGUCUGCCCAGGUGGGCUGGGGCCACAGGACAGUCCCCAUUCCCCACCCACAGUCCCUGUGAUAGAGAAAUGGCAUUUGUUCUUGCCUCUCGGUCCAGACCCUAAAAAGACCAGAGAGGUCGGGCUCAGAGCAGGAGGCCAGUGGCCAGUGUUCACAGGCCUCUGUGCCAUGGCUCAGCUGUCCUGUCUCUUCUGAUGCAGGCCCUUUAUGAAAAGGCCUUCCUGGGUUUCAGAACGUGUCAGUGCUGUGACGGUCCCUCUCCUGGGCCUUCUCAAGGCGGGUCUGCAUGAGGCCACCAUGCGCCCACACUCAGGAUGAGUCCACAAAACAGUUCAGCAGGGCUGGGGGCAUCCAUUGCAAGGAAGCUGCCCCUGCAGGCCCCAGACAGGGCAAAGCAGUGAGGCUCUUCUGGAACAUUCUCCUACUCGUGCAGUGAUCUCAGUGAGGCCAUCCAGAUGCCGAACACAGCAGCUCUGUGGCCGACCCCUCUCAGGAACAGGGAUAUGAGUUGCACCAGAGAUCCACUCCCUUCCGGAACACAACAGGAUCCAAGGUCCUGCAUUCCUCUACCCCACACGGAGACGACAGACGUCCUUCUUCUUUCACCCAUGCCCCAUUUCCCAAUUAGAAGCGCGGUCAUGUCUCAGUGGCUGCAAGAAUGAUGUGUAAGUAACUGACAACUACACCUAUUCUUAGGUUCCUGCCACACCAGCAGCUCAGAAUUUCACAAUGUAAUUUCAAGAAGUGUGAAAACUGCUUCUGCUAAAUCUGGAAAAAGUUACAAGUGCCUUUUCUGAGGUUUCUGCCCAUUUGAAAAGUAAGUUCUCUUGGGAGACAAAGACUUCUGCCCGAGGCCUUGAAGUUAGUUUAAGACAAGCUCGCUGGUGCUGACAGCCUGGGGCUCUCUCACCCCUCUGACUUCUGGAAGGGCAGCGUCCACGGCCCCUGGCCAGAGGUUGCACAUAAAGCACAGGCCCACCUCCCGCUCCCUGGGGGCAGCCUGCCAGGUACAGGGUGUGAGCAGCACUGUACCACUGUCUGGGCCCACGUAGUGUGCUGUGGAUGUACACCCAGGAGGAUGGACACUUGGCCGUCAGGGACACAGGCCCAAGCUACAAUAGCUCAAGUUCCAGAAGGCAGAUUUCUCUCCCAUCAUGAGAAGUCCAGAGAACAGUGGUUGCUGUUUCAGAGGCACAGAGCAGCAGGACCGAAGUCCCUCUGGCUCCCUGGCCACUCCCUCCUGGUGCUAUGAUGGAGGUUGCUGCUCCAGCCAUCACACCUUCCAGGCAAAAGGAGAAAGUAGUAGUGGUCAGAAGAGCAUCUGCCCCUGGCAGCCCUUUACAGUCAGCCCUUUAAAGAGCCUUCCCUUUUAGGAGCUUUCCUGGAGUCUCCUUUUCCAUCCCACUCCUCACCUCCCUCCCUGCUAAGGGGGGAAAAAAAAAAAUAGCCUCCUUGCGAGCUGGAGGGAAUGCGGUCCUGGGCCACCCUGCCUGAGAGAGAGCCUGCGAAAUGUCCUUUGCAGCUGAGGACACAGCCCCACCUCCACCCCAUCCGGCAACAAAGGGACCAACGUGAAGAAAGAGAGGAAGGGCGGAUUGGGGCAGGUUACCAGAAAUCGCUGUUGCAAAGUCCACGUCCCCUGUGGAAAGUGCCAGCAUGGCCCACCUGUACCCUGGGGCUUGAAGGCUGCCCCUCAUCCCAGCUGGGGCUCUCCAUCACAUGCCCGUGACUACUGCCUGGCGAGGGCUCCCUGGCAGCCCAGCUCCCUAGGGCCCUGGGCCCGCUGUGCCCCUGUCUGUGCCGGCCAAGGACGGGCAGCAGGGUCAAAGAUAGGACGUGACCCCUGCCCAUGAAGGCUCAAUCCAGGAGACAGAGCCAAGGUCACACAGAGGACAAAGCGUGUGGGACCCCUUGGCACCCCAUCCUUCCCAGCAGCUCAUCCUGUGAGUCUCCCACACCGCAUGUACCCUUCCGAGGGCACAGGGUGAGCUGCCCGUGUCCACCCGACAUGAGAGGCUGGCAGUGGGUCUGGGGGCAGCAGGCCUCAGCAGAGGUCUCACAUCACCAACAUUUGAGGCAUCAUCUGCCCAAGGUGUGUAUCACCCAUUUCCAAGGAGCAUGUGGAGCCGCAGCGCCCUGGCCGAAUCCAGCUGUGGCCGGGUCUGUGCCCAGCGUGGUGUGGGCCCUUAAGAGCUGAUCGCCCGGAGCCAUGAUCCGUCCACCUUGUGCACACUUGAACUUGUACUUCAAUCUGUAAGCCCUGCCCCAGGGACCUGCCCCCGGCAGUGCAUGUCACCGGAAUGUCCUCCCACUCGGGUCCCACCUGCUCUCCCUGCUGACGCCCUGGGAGGGGCACUGAGGGGCUCCAUGAAGGAGGCUGGGGAAGGGUGGGGCUUGGCUGGGGCCUGGCUGGGGCUGGCUGGGGCUGGCUGGACGCUCACCAGAGCGAGGCAGGAGCCAGGAAUGAGCACCCCGCCUCUCCGAGAAGCCUUCAGGGCACAGGAACCCAUGAUGUUCAUGAGGCUCAGCCCAUGUCAGGCCCCACAACAGUUCGCGAAGGGCUGUUUUCCAUCCCUGCCCAGACUUCAGAACGCGAACUGCUCAGCCCCAUGGGACCAACCUGGGUGGGGCGGACACGGGCCGCCCAGCCCCUCCUGCUGGGUGUGCCACCUGCUUCCUUGCAGCUGACCAGAGUCACUUCCAACCAGCCUGUCUCCCUAUCACCCCUUCUCCCAGCUGCCCAGAGCUGUCCUGGUGACAGUGGGUGACCUCAGGCAGUGGUGCCCAUGGGCUGUGGUGCCCAUGGGCUGGGUUAGUGGUGCCCAUGGGCUGGGUCCUCCCCAUGCCGUGGGGAAGCAGUGGUGCCCAUGGGCUGGGUCCUCCCCGUGCCUCACGGAGCCACAUCCUCUUGGGCCCCAGUGCCAGAACCACCUUUCAGAAACCUUGAGGAUGGGCCCCCGCCUCUGCAUGCAACCCUGAGCCCCCACCCCACAGUCCUGGCCUCCCAAGGUGACCCCCUCCCUCCCUGCCAGGCUGGUGGCCCAGAUCCAUGAUGAGCUGCUGUUUGAAGUGGAAGAUCCGCAGAUCCCGGAGUGUGCAGCUCUCGUCAGGAGGACCAUGGAGUCCUUGGA